CCUCCAACCAUCCGGGCACGUAUAUAAUUCUCUUUUUUCUUCUCAGCAUAUCUUCUUGUAAUGUUCUUUCACAUUUACCACAUUGAGGAUAGUUUUAAAUAUGGCGUCUUACCUGUGCCGAGAAAAAAAGAAAAGGAUAAACGAUCAAAGUGAAAGGUGAAAGGCUGGGGAAUUGAAAUGCAGGAAUGCGACCUUUAUCCUUGAGGAAACCUGUAAAAUAAUAGAACGACGUUACUAUACAGAGUUUAUUUUAGAAAUGUAUAUAUACUCCAAUGAAAAUAUUACGAAAAA
rnacentral:lncRNA from 1 species